rnacentral:rRNA from 1 species
CUGUGCCUACGGGGGGCAGCAGUGGGGAAUAUUGCACAAUGGGGGAAACCCUGAUGCAGCAACGCCGCGUGAGUGAAGAAGUAUUUCGGUAUGUAAAGCUCUAUCAGCAGGGAAUAGAAAAGAAGGUACCUGAAAAAGAAGCCCCGGCUAACUACGUGCCAGCAGCCGCGGUAAUACGUAGGGGGCAAGCGUUAUCCGGAUUUACUGGGUGUAAAGGGAGCGUAGACGGAAAGGCAAGUCAGAAGUGAAAACUCAGGGCUCAACCCUGAGCCUGCAUUUGAAACUGUGUUUCUUGAGUGCUGGAG